GUUUGCGGAUGUAGCAUCAUCAAGAUUCACAUGCAAAACGCAUGGUGAUGAAAUGAUAUUAAUGGCCAUGGCAGCUUUUUGAAGGUGAGAAUCUUGAUGAUGCUGCAUCAGCAAUAA
rnacentral:pre_miRNA from 1 species